rfam:Biomphalaria glabrata isolate BB02 unplaced genomic scaffold LGTN_random_Scaffold481, whole genome shotgun sequence.
AUCUACUUGCCAUGUAUGGAUCAGCUUUGAUAUAAGAACGAUACAGAGAAGAUUUUAAUGACCACUGCGCAAGGAUGAUACACACAAUUUGGAAGCGUUCCAUAUUUAU